rnacentral:rRNA from 1 species
GGUAGGGGAGCGUUCUGUAGGCCGAUGAAGGUGCAUUGUAAAGUGUGCUGGAGGUAUCAGAAGUGCGAAUGUUGACAUGAGUAGCGAUAAAGCGGGUGAAAAGCCCGCUCGCCGAAAGCCCAAGGUUUCCUACGCAACGUUCAUCGGCGUAGGGUGAGUCGGCCCCUAAGGCGAGGCAGAAAUGCGUAGUCGAUGGGAAACAGGUUAAUAUUCCUGUACUUGAUUCAAAUGCGAUGUGGGGACGGAGAAGGUUAGGUUGGCAAGCUGUUGGAAUAGCUUGUUUAAGCCGGUAGGUGGAAGACUUAGGCAAAUCCGGGUCUUCUUAACACCGAGAAGUGAUGACGAGUGUCUACGGACAUGAAGUAACCGAUACCACGCUUCCAGGAAAAGCCACUAAGCUUCAGUUUGAAUCGAACCGUACCGCAAACCGACACAGGUGGGCAGGAUGAGAAUUCUAAGGCGCUUGAGAGAACUCAGGAGAAGGAACUCGGCAAAUUGAUACCGUAACUUCGGGAGAAGGUAUGCCCUCUAAGGUUAAGGACUUGCUCCGUAAGCCCUGGAGGGUCGCAGAGAAUAGGUGGCUGCGACUUGUUUAUUAAAAACACAGCACUCUGCUAACACGAAAGUGGACGUAUAGGGUGUGACGCCUGCCCGGUGCUGGAAGGUUAAUUGAAGAUGUGCAAGCAUCGGAUCGAAGCCCCAGUAAACGGCGGCCGUAACUAUAACGGUCCUAAGGUAGCGAAAUUCCUUGUCGGGUAAGUUCCGACCCGCACGAAUGGCGUAACGAUGGCCACACUGUCUCCUCCUGAGACUCAGCGAAGUUGAAGUGGUUGUGAAGAUGCAAUCUACCCGCUGCUAGACGGAAAGACCCCGUGAACCUUUACUGUAGCUUUGCAUUGGACUUUGAAGUCACUUGUGUAGGAUAGGUGGGAGGCUUUGAAGCAGAGACGCCAGUCUCUGCGGAGCCGUCCUUGAAAUACCACCCUGGUGUCUUUGAGGUUCUAACCCAGACCCGUCAUCCGGGUCGGGGACCGUGCAUGGUAGGCAGUUUGACUGGGGCGGUCUCCUCCCAAAGCGUAACGGAGGAGUUCGAAGGUUACCUAGGUCCGGUCGGAAAUCGGACUGAUAGUGCAAUGGCAAAAGGUAGCUUAACUGCGAGACCGACAAGUCGAGCAGGUGCGAAAGCAGGACAUAGUGAUCCGGUGGUUCUGUAUGGAAGGGCCAUCGCUCAACGGAUAAAAGGUACUCCGGGGAUAACAGGCUGAUUCCGCCCAAGAGUUCAUAUCGACGGCGGAGUUUGGCACCUCGAUGUCGGCUCAUCACAUCCUGGGGCUGUAGUCGGUCCCAAGGGUAUGGCUGUUCGCCAUUUAAAGUGGUACGUGAGCUGGGUUUAAAACGUCGAGAGACAGUUUGGUCCCUAUCUGCAGUGGGCGUUGGAAGUUUGACGGGGGCUGCUCCUAGUACGAGAGGACCGGAGUGGACGAACCUCUGGUGUACCGGUUGUAACGCCAGUUGCAUAGCCGGGUAGCUAAGUUCGGAAGAGAUAAGCGCUGAAAGCAUCUAAGCGCGAAACUCGCCUGAAGAUGAGACUUCCCUUGCGGUUUAACCGCACUAAAGAGUCGUUCGAGACCAGGACGUUGAUAGGUGGGGUGUGGAAGCGCGGUAACGCGUGAAGCUAACCCAUACUAAUUGCUCGUGAGGCUUGACUCU